rnacentral:rRNA from 1 species
UAAAGUAAAUUGCAUAAAAAUUUAAAAUAAACUUCACUGUAAAAACAUUUUAAGAUUUAGUACAGGAGAUAAAAAUUUAAUAGAUUUUUGCGUAAAAAUUAAGUACUGAAAUGGAAAACUUAAAUUCAUAAUAAAAAAGAAAUAAAAUUUCGUACCUUUUGCAUCAUGGUUUAGCUAGAUUAGUUUUAAUAUAAAAAACCUAGAAACCUUACGAGCUAUUUUUAAUUGUCUUUUAGGAAAGUUAAAGAGGUAAUUGUGGAAUAAAUUUCUCUAAAAUUAAAAAUAGAUAUUAGAUUUUUUUCGCGUUAGGGGAUAGCUAGUUCUCCCUUGAAGACAUAUAAGUGUUGGGAAUUAAUUUUUAUAGCGCGAUUAUAUGGCGCAUUUAUAAAUCUUUAAUUCACUUAAAUUUUUGAGGACAAGCUCAAAAAUUAAGACCUAAAGGUGCAUAAUAUUUUUAUAUAAAUUUAGACCUGAAAAUAGUUAAAAUUCGUUGAUUUUGUUAUAAUUUCAUUAAAAUUAAAAAAAUAUAAUAAAUUUGCACAUAUAAAUUGAAGAGAGAAAACUCCUAAAUUAAUUUUAGGAUUGAUCGUAUGCUAAAAUGAGUAUUUUUUACAGUUUAUUUCUAACAAAGCAUAUAACUAGAACUAAAUGUUUUAUACAAAUCUUAUGGAAAUUACAGAAAGGAACUCGGCAAAUUAAGUAUUCCGCCUGUUUAUCAAAAACAUCGCUCCCCGUACAACAUAAAUAGGGAGUCGGACCUGCCCAGUGAAUUUUUAACGGCCGCGGUACUCUGACCGUGCAAAGGUAGCAUAAUAAUUUGCCUUAUAAUUGAAGGCUGGUAUGAAUGGUUUGACGAGAAUAAAGCUGUCUCUCUGUAAUUUACUAGAAAUUUAUUUAUGAAUGAAAAAGUUCAUGUACGAUUAAAAGACAAGAAGACCCUAUCGAGCUUUAAAGAACUUAGUAGGCCUAGUAGCUAAUUAAACCUAAAAAGCCGUUACUAAAAAUUUUAGUUGGGGCGACAGAGGAACAAAGGAAGCUUCCUUAAAAUGAUUUUUGUUUAUAAACAUUGAUCCAGAAGUUUUCUGAUUAAUAAAAUUAGUUACCGUAGGGAUAACAGCAUUAUCUUUUUUGAGAGCUCUUAUCGAAAAAAAGGUUUGUGACCUCGAUGUUGGACCAGAAUGUCCUGAAGAUGCAGCAGUCUUUAAGGGUUGGUCUGUUCGACCAUUAAUAUUCUACGUGAUCUGAGUUCAGACCGGCGUGAGCCAGGUCAGUUUCUAUCUUUA